CGCAGCGUCUAUAAAAAGAGUGGCUGCGGCCCGCGCUUUCUCUUUUGGGAUCUGCCUUGGGUUGUGUUCUUGGGUACAAAAUCUCAAGCCAAUGUUGUUUGUAAAGAGUUUUACAAAUUUUGUGAUCAUGGAACAAGGAUUGAUUCUGUGUUCACAAAUAUUGGAAUGCUACCUAUUGAUGUGCUGGCCUUUGGGUUCUCUAAUAUGGAUCAGCUUUAGAUGAUCAAACAUGUCUUAAUGAUUGAGCUGUGUUUCUGAAGAACCUCAAGAAAAGGCAAG